GCGCCCGGGCGGCCGUGGAGUCCAGUCCCCGGUCCCUCCGGUCAGCGAGCCUUCCGCGCGCCAGCCGGGGGGCCGGUGCUGCUGCGGGCGCCGGAUGAGGCAGCGGACAGGAGACGGGCGGCUGACGUGCAGUCGGGGAGACAGGAGAAAGUGGGGUGACAGACUGAGACCACGGUUUGGCUCAAGAGCACGGGAGGAGCUGUGCGCCUUUUCGGAGGAGAGACGGCUGCACGUUUGCACGAGGAAGACCUUCCACUGUCUCCUAAUCCGACGCUCCAAGCCCCUCGCUUAGAAAUCGU